CUCUUAAUACUUAUCAAAAAAGAAAAAAUAUUAGCUACCAUACACUCAAAUAUAUUUAUAUAUUCGUGUAUUAUAAAUAUGAAACAACCGUCGUUGUAAAGAAUGAUGUUUAUAUAUUUUUAUAUAUAUUUAACACUUUUCCUGACGUGCUCGAAAUUUUUUGAAAUGCCCAUAAUGUUACGACAAAUGCACAAACGGAAACGAAAUGACGAACACAAAAAACAAUCAAACUACAAGCAGAAAAUAAAGAGACACAUAUUUACGUGAAAAAUCCUUUGCAAGGAAAAAAUCACGGGCGAGGGAGGAGAGAACUUCACUAUGGAACGAAAAGGAAAUACAAUGUUCUUCAGGUUACAACCCACCACAGACAUUCAUUUUUCCUCCAUAAUUUUCUUCUCCAAAUUGGUCGCACCGCGAAGCUGUCGGCGAGUUGUAAACCCGAACCUGAAUCGAUAGUAGAUUUCGAGUCACAUCUAACACAUAACGUGUUAAAUGGGAGAAAAUUAAUAAUGCUAAAAACUUGGUAUAAUUCGAACUCAGAACUUUCUAUUUUGAUAUUAUAUGAAACAACUGUUGUAUUCUAAAAAAUUAAGUCGAUAGAGAACGAUAUUUAUAUAUUUUUAUAUUUAACACUAUAUGGCCCUUUUGGAUUGGGGAUAAGGGGUGGAAUAACCCCUUAUCCCCCUUUAUACCUAAAUGCUAAUUUUUACCCGAGGAUAAUAGUUCUCGGAUACAUGAAAUAAGCUGGUAUAACUAUUCUCACCACCACCUUCAUUUUCUAUAUAUAAUUAUCCAUUAUUUUUUUUAUUUCAUAUUAUUUAUCCAAACGCUAUUUUUUUUAUCAUAAAAAAUAAUCUAAUUUUCAUCCAAACGUUAUUUUUCUUAUUCUCAUACUAAUAUUUAUUUUUUGUAAUAAUUAGUUCUUGUUUAUAUCCGAACCAAACGUUCCUAAAUCUAUCAGUUAUUUAUUUCUCUCGUACUUUUAAUUCAAC
rnacentral:lncRNA from 1 species